rnacentral:rRNA from 1 species
GGUAAGCUCUUGUACUCAUGCUAGCCACUGAUAGAUUUUAAGGGCCGCGGUAUUUUGACCGUGCGAAGGUAGCGUAAUCAUUAGUUUUUUAAUUGGAAUCUUGUAUGAAUGGUUAGACAAAAGAAAGCCUGUCUCUGUACUAAAUAUUGAAUUUAACUUUUAAGUGAAAAGGCUUAAGUGAGUUAAAGGGACGAUAAGACCCUAUAAAGCUUAAUAUAAAGUAUUAUUUGGUUGAAUUAGAUAUAAGAAUCUUAUAAUAUAGUUUAUUUUAUUGGGGCGAUAAAGGUAGAAUGUUUAAUAACUGCUUUUAAAAAAACACAUGAUUAGUUGAAAUAAAAAAGAAAAAGAUCCUAAAUAAAGAUUUAAAGUUUAAGUUACUUUAGGGAUAACAGCGUUAUUUUUUUUGAGAGUACUUAUCGAAAAAAAAGUUUGCGACCUCGAUGUUGAAUUAAAAUUUCUUUAUAGAAGCAGAAACUAUAAAAGUUGGUCUGUUCGACCUUUAAAAUUUUACGUGAUCUGAGUUCAGACCGGAGGGAAGGGG